rnacentral:rRNA from 1 species
AACGUAGGUCACAAGCGUUGUCCGGAAUUACUGGGUGUAAAGGGAGCGCAGGCGGGAAGACAAGUUAGAAGUGAAAUCUAUGGGCUCAACCCAUAAACUGCUUUCAAAACUGUUUUUCUUGAGUAGUGCAGAGGUAGGCGGAAUUCCCGGUGUAGCGGUGGAAUGCGUAGAUAUCGGGAGGAACACCAGUGGCGAAGGCGGCCUACUGGGCACCAACUGACGCUGAGGCUCGAAAGUGUGGGUAGCAAACAGG